GACGAACGCUGGCGGCGCGCUUAACACAUGCAAGUCGAACGGAAAGGCCUGCUUUCCCUUGUGGAUUGCGGGUACUCGAGUGGCGAACGGGUGAGUAACACGUGAGUGAUCUGCCCCCAACUUGGGUAUAAGCCUGGGAAACUGGGUCUAAUUCCCGAUAGGACUGCAGGGUGGUGCCUGUGGUGGAAAACGAUUUUCUAGUGGUUGGGGAUGAGCUCGCGGCCUAUCAGCUUGUUGGUGGGGUAAUGGCCUACCAAGGCGGCGACGGGUAGCCGGCCUGAGAGGGUGGACGGCCACAUUGGGACCGAGAUACGGCCCAGACUCCUACGGGAGGCAGCAGUGGGGAAUAUUGCACAAUGGGCGGAAGCCUGAUGCAGCGACGCCGCGUGGGGGAUGACGGCCUUCGGGUUGUAAACUCCUUUCGACCGCGAGGAAGCCACCUGGUUGGAAGGGUGGUGACGGUAGUGGUAGAAGAAGCACCGGCUAACUACGUG
rnacentral:rRNA from 1 species